UUUGAAAGUUUUGUCUGAUAGUGAAUAAUUGUGUAUUUCGUAUGUUAUGAUGUGUAUUAAAAUUUGAUGUCUGAAUGCCUUUAAAUAGGCUUCUAGUCAGUCAUGAUAACCUCCCAUGAAGAGGAGACACGACUGGAAUGAAACCUAUUCACGUUGGAUGAAAAUUGUUCAUUUGAAUUUGAAAAUUUGGUUUCAACAGCUCUGUGUAAUCGAUUGUCACGGGGUGCUAAUCGAUUACUUAAAAG
rnacentral:lncRNA from 1 species